rnacentral:rRNA from 1 species
GACGAACGCUGGCGGCGUGCUUAACACAUGCAAGUCGAGCGGUAAGGCCCUUUCGGGGGUACACGAGCGGCGAACGGGUGAGUAACACGUGGGUGACCUGCCCUCAGCUCUGGGAUAAGCCCGGGAAACUGGGUCUAAUACUGGAUAUUACUCUGCGGUGCAUGCCGUGGGGUGGAAAGCCUUGUGCGGCUGGGGGAUGGGCCCGCGGCCUAUCAGCUUGUUGGUGGGGUGAUGGCCACCAAGGCGACGACGGGUAGCCGGCCUGAGAGGGCGACCGGCCACACUGGGACUGAGACACGGCCCAGACUCCUACGGGAGGCAGCAGUGGGGAAUCUUGCGCAAUGGGCGAAAGCCUGACGCAGCGACGCCGCGUGAGGGAUGACGGCCU